rnacentral:rRNA from 1 species
CACGUAGGGCGCAAGCGUUGUCCGGAAUUAUUGGGCGUAAAGAGCUCGUAGGCGGUCUGUUGCGUCCGCUGUGAAAACUCGGGGCUUAACCCCGAGCCUGCAGUGGAUACGGGCAGACUAGAGGUAGGUAGGGGAGAAUGGAAUUCCCGGUGUAGCGGUGAAAUUCGUAGAUAUUCGGAAGAACACCAGUGGCGAAGGCGGCUCACUGGCCCGGUACUGACGCUGAGGCGCGAAAGCGUGGGAGCAAACAGG